GAGGAGCUUGCGUCACAUUAUUUAGUUGGUGGGGUAGAGGCCUACCAAGACUAUGAUGUGUAGCCGGGCUGAGAGGUUGAACGGCCACAUUGGGACUGAGACACGGCCCAAACUCCUACGGGAGGCAGCAGUAGGGAAUUUUCGGCAAUGGAGGAAACUCUGACCGAGCAACGCCGCGUGAACGAUGAAGUAUUUCGGUACGUAAAGUUCUUUUAUUAGGGAAGAAUAAAUGAUGGAAAAAUCAUUCUGACGGUACCUAAUGAAUAAGCCCCGGCUAACUAUGUGCCAGCAGCCGCGGUAAUACAUAGGGGGCAAGCGUUAUCCGGAAUUAUUGGGCGUAAAGGGUGCGUAGGCGGUUAAAUAAGUUUAUGGUCUAAGUGCAAUGCUCAACAUUGUGAUGCUAUAAAAACUGUUUAGCUAGAGUAAGAUAGAGGCAAGUGGAAUUCCAUGUGUAGUGGUAAAAUGCGUAAAUAUUGGAGGAACACCAGUAGCGAAGGCGGCUUGCUGGGUCUUUACUGACGCUGAGGCACGAAAGCGUGGGGAGCAACAGGAUUAGAUACCCUGGUAGUCCACGCCGUAAACGAUGAGUACUAAACGUUGGGUAAAACCAGUGUUGAAGUUAACACAUUAAGUACUCCGCCUGAGUAGUACGUACGCAAGUAUGAAACUUAAAGGAAUUGACGGGACUCCGCACAAGCGGUGGAUCAUGUUGUUUAAUUCGAAGGUACCCGAAAAACCUCACCAGGUCUUGACAUGCUUCUGCAAAGCUGUAGAAACACAGUGGAGGUUAUCAGUUGCACAGGUGGUGCAUGGUUGUCGUCAGCUCGUGUCGUGAGAUGUUGGGUUAAGUCCCGCAACGAGCGCAACCCUUAUUGUUAGUUACCAGCACGUAAUGGUGGGGACUUUAGCAAGAUGCCAGUGAUAAAUUGGAGGAAGGUGGGGACGACGUCAAAUCAUCAUGCCCCUUAUGACCUGGGCUACAAACGUGAUACAAUGGCUGUUACAAAGGGUAGCUGAAGCGCAAGUUUUUGGCCAAUGUCAAAAACACAGUC
rnacentral:rRNA from 1 species